rnacentral:lncRNA from 1 species
CAAUAUGAUCUAAACACCAUUCAGAAAAAGAGAAAGAGGACUUACGACCAAAACGACCCUUAAACCAAAACCAAGAAAAAGUUUUAAUAUCAUCUACAAGUUUGGAAGCAUCUGGUAAGUCUCCAUUAAAAACAACAUUAUUUAUAAGCUUCCAUAAGCACCAUGUAGUGGCCAACCAAAUCAAAUGACGAAUUCGAUUACCUUUUCUUGAUUUAACCAAAGAACCAAAGGAUAAAAAGUGAUUCCAACCUUCCAAACUUGUCGGUAAACUCUGUCCUAACCAUCUAUAUAUAGUUUCCCACACACCUUUAACAAAAGAGCAAUUGAAGAAUAGAUGGGAACAGUCUUCCAUUUGCAUAUAACAAAAAGUACAAGAAAUAUCAUGCGGAUUAUUCAAUAUACCUCUAUGAUGAAGGGCUGCCCGCGUAGGGAGCUUCUCUAGAAGCAAUCUCCAACCAAAAAUAUUUACUUUAGAUGGAACAUCGUUUUUCCAAAGCUUUUGGAUAGCAUCCAAAACAUUUGACUCCAAAACAACCGUGUUAGAAUAUUGAAGCAACAAACUAUAACACGAUUUAACCGUAAAGAGGCCAACCGAAUCUGGCACCCACCGCCAUCUAUCCGACCUCGCUUGAUCAAAAGGACAAUCAAGUAAAAGUUGUUUAAGAGCUCGAAAAUGAUGUGCGUCAUUGUCAGAAAGUUCUUCACACCACUGUCAAUGCCACUCGGUAUCUGUUCCAUUUCGACUCAACCUAUCUGAGAUCAAAAC